rnacentral:ribozyme from 14 species
UAUAUACUGUUUUUUCCAACAUAUUGUUAUAUUUUGUACUGUUUUUUUUUACUUUUUUGUUCUUCUUUUUCAAGAAUGAAGAAGAAGGGAAACUGGACAUCUGCAGUAGAAAA